ACCUGGUUGAUCCUGCCAGUAGUCAUAUGCUUGUUUCAAGGACUAAGCCAUGCAAGUCUCAGAGUAAAUGGAUCACAGUAGGUCUGCAGACAGCUCAUUAAAUCAGCUACAAUCUACGCCGAGAAACUGCCUCAUGGCAGACUAUUGGAUAACUUUGGUAACCCCAAAGCUAAUACAUGUCAGCAAAACCCGCACAGAUUCAACCUCGGGGCCUCGGCUCUGGGGCUGUGUUGGGUGUAAUUGACCGAAACAAAAACCAACGCUAGCAAUAGCAGCGGUGAUAGGAUGAUUCAGGUCAAUCGAGUAGUAGCGCAUACUUCGGUGGCGCUUGUCGGCAUGAGCAUCUGCCCUAUCAGCUUUUGACGGUAGUGUAGUGGACUACCAUGGCUGUAACGGGUAACGGGGAAUUAGGGUUCGAUUCCGGAGAGGGAGCCUGAGAAACGGCUACCACAACUAAGGUUGGCAGCAGGCGCGCAAAUUGCCCAAUAGCAACACAUCGCUGAGGCAGCGAAGAGAAAUAGCAACUUCAUGCGGCCCUGCCGUGUGAAGAUUGCCAUGGACGAUAUCUAAACCUGUCGGUGAGUAUCAAUUGGUGGACAAGUCUGGUGCCAGCACCCGCGGUAAUUCCAGCACCAAUAGCGUAUAUUAAUGCUGCUGCUGUUAAAAAGCUCGUAGUUGGAUCAAGAGUUGGACAGUGCACGGUGGCCCCGUUUGGUAUCGUGGUUCCGAUCACGGUGCCGGCGGCGGAUCAACCCCGUGCGCCAAACUGUCCACUCUAACAGACCGAAACGGUUCCCUGUGAGUAGGUUCCUUCAUUGGGACUGAAAGCGCUUACGCAUCAACCAUAUGCAUACGGGACGUCGGUCAAAGUUACUGUGAACAAACCAGCGUGUCCAAAACAGGCUUUCGCCUGAAUGUUCGAGCAUGGAAUAACAAGGGAUCGAUUCUCUCGGUUCUUUUUGUUGGUUUUUAACCCGAGAAGGAGUAAUUCAGGCCACGGUGUCUGAGUUGGGUUUCCCUUCACCUCGGUGGAGGCCCCAAUUAGGCCGUGUCCUUACGGGAUCAAUAGGGACUGACGGGGUCGUACGUACUUCCACGUCAGAGGUGAAAUUCUUAGAUCGUGGGAAGACGAACUUCUGCGAAAGCAUUCGACAAGAAUGUCUUCAUUAAUCAAGAACGAGAGUGUGGGGAUCGAAGAUGAUCAGAUACCGUCGUAGUCCACUACUGUAAACAAUGCCGUCUCAGGAUUGAGAAGUGAACAGAAUGACUUUCACAGCACUAACCCCUGAAACGAGAAAUCAAAGAUUAUGGGUUCAGGGGGGAGUACAUUCGCAAGGCUGAAACUUAA
rnacentral:rRNA from 1 species